GCGGCUUUAACUCAGUUGGGAGAGUGUCAGACUGAAGUCCACUUCAGCCCCGUGAUCUGAAAGUCGCCUGUUCGAUCCAGGCAAGCCGCA